GUUCUACCUGCGAGUGUACAUAUGAUGAAAAAAUUGGAACGAUACAGAGCAGAUUAGAAUGGCCCCUGCGCAAGGAUGACACGCACAAUCGUGAAUCGUUGCUCUAUUUA